CUUCCCUUCACCGCCAAGCAUUUUGAAGACAAAUUCUCAUCUAACUUCCAUUAUUUUCCUUCUUCAAUUUGCAGAGAACAUUUAAGAGAGAGUUUGGAAGAAGAAGAGGAAUUUUACUAGAAUUUUGAGGUUGAAGAAGUGGAGGAUAACUCAAGCAAAGUGUAUCCAUGGCUGAAUUUUGGUUCAUUCUGCACAUCACUGGUUUUUAAUUCGGUUUGAACUCUUCAAAAGGAAUUAAAAGGUGAGAUUUACAUUGACUGAAAGUUAACUCAUUUUCAAACAAACUUUAUGGAUAAAGUUGGAGCAAAUUCAGAUAUUCAUUGGGUGCUUUUUGAUGAAGAAAACAGGGCAGUUGGUUUUCACUCGAAAUCAGGACGUCUCUGGUUUUUCUUAUAUUUCAGAGUGUACUAGUAGAGUUAGGAUCUCUAUUUGGUAUCGUUAGAAAGCUUAUGCAAUUUAAUACAACUUUCAUGAAGAAAUCGUGUACCAAAAACGACUAACAAUCAGUUAAAAUGUAGGGACAAGUUAAAGAGGUCGUGUGCGCGCGAUUCUGAAAGUGGUUCUGUUUCGAGGGUUAUCUGAGUUUAUUCAUAGGGAAUAAGAUUUACAUGUCUUCAGGCCGAGAAGAAUUAAACCGAGCUUAUAGACCAAGGAUUUAGUCCAAGACGGAAGAGAUCGAGUUCCCGGUGCCUGAUAGACUACCUUAGUCUGCUGAAGCUCCGCUAUCGAUUGCCAGUACGUGUUUUGAGUUGGGCAUAGAGUCUGUUGUGUUAUGAUGUACAUACACCCUUGUAUGUUAUAGAUACUUCACAGUUUGUAUAAGCUUUAGGAGCUGUAGUUGUGUAAAUUUUUGUUGGUUAUAUUUUGAUUAAGGUGUCUUUAGGUUUACUCGUGAAAUCGGUAAAUUUUGAGGUACACUUCAUGUAUGUGUUUGACUAGCCUAGGAUCCGCUUUGUUUUGUUGCAUGUAUAAUAGUUUAUAUACUAGAUUGGCAAGUUCAUCACAUGAAAGUUUUAAGCAGAGUGGACAGAUACAGGUACAGAAAAGCGUUGUUCGUCGGCUUCACACCAUCUUUCUGUCUAAGGUAGCAGGUAGUUCGAGAGGGGGUGUGACAGCGUAGCAUCAAUUAAGGAUGCAUUAUAGACUCCACCAUGGAGGGUGAAUACGUCGGUGCUUAUGAAGAAGCAAAAGAAGUAGUUUGGUUUAUAAUGUUCUUGCAUGAUUUGGAAGUUGUUCCAAACAUGAACUUACCCACCACUCUAUAUUGUGAUAACAGUGGGGAAGUAUCACCUAAUAAGAGUAGUUGUGCAACGAGGGGGUGUGACGUCACCAAGAUCACUUUGAAGGACAAUAUUGUUGAUCAGUUUACGUAGACUCUCACGACUGAAGUUUUAAGGGUGAACUAGAAAGUCUAGAUCUACAAGAUAUGUAAAUUAUGUAAUCUAGGGCAAGUGGUGUAAUGGGUAUGAGGAUGCCUAGUUUAUUGUAUUUGUAUAUAUAUGCUUAAUAACCUAAAUCCAAAUAACUAACAUCCUAAGCUG